GAGGGUAUAGCUCAGCGCUAGAGCAUAUGACUAGCAUGCAAGAGGUCCUGGGUUCAAUCCCCUGUACCUCCA
rnacentral:tRNA from 1 species